rnacentral:rRNA from 1 species
CAAUUUAAACAACGAAGAGUUUGAUCCUGGCUCAGGAUGAACGCUAGCGACAGGCUUAACACAUGCAAGUCGAGGGGCAGCGGGGGUAGCAAUACCCGCCGGCGACCGGCGCACGGGUGAGUAACGCGUAUGCAACUUACCUAUCAGAGGGGGAUAACCCGGCGAAAGUCGGACUAAUACCGCAUGAAGCAGGGAUCCCGCAUGGGAAUAUUUGCUAAAGAUUCAUCGCUGAUAGAUAGGCAUGCGUUCCAUUAGGCAGUUGGCGGGGUAACGGCCCACCAAACCGACGAUGGAUAGGGGUUCUGAGAGGAAGGUCCCCCACAUUGGUACUGAGACACGGACCAAACUCCUACGGGAGGCAGC